UUAAAUUGAAGAGUUUGAUCAUGGCUCAGAUUGAACGCUGGCGGCAGGCCUAACACAUGCAAGUCGAGCGGUAGCACAGGAGAGCUUGCUCUCUGGGUGACGAGCGGCGGACGGGUGAGUAAUGUCUGGGAAACUGCCUGAUGGAGGGGGAUAACUACUGGAAACGGUAGCUAAUACCGCAUAACGUCUUCGGACCAAAGAGGGGGACCUUAGGGCCUCUUGCCAUCGGAUGUGCCCAGAUGGGAUUAGCUAGUAGGCGGGGUAAUGGCCCACCUAGGCGACGAUCCCUAGCUGGUCUGAGAGGAUGACCAGCCACACUGGAACUGAGACACGGUCCAGACUCCUACGGGAGGCAGCAGUGGGGAAUAUUGCACAAUGGGCGCAAGCCUGAUGCAGCCAUGCCGCGUGUGUGAAGAAGGCCUUCGGGUUGUAAAGCACUUUCAGCGGGGAGGAAGGCAAUAAGGCUAAUAUCCUUAUUGAUUGACGUUACCCGCAGAAGAAGCACCGGCUAACUCCGUGCCAGCAGCCGCGGUAAUACGGAGGGUGCAAGCGUUAAUCGGAAUGACUGGGCGUAAAGCGCACGCAGGCGGUCUGUUAAGUCAGAUGUGAAAUCCCCGAGCUUAACUUGGGAACUGCAUUUGAAACUGGCAGGCUAGAGUCUUGUAGAGGGGGGUAGAAUUCCAGGUGUAGCGGUGAAAUGCGUAGAGAUCUGGAGGAAUACCGGUGGCGAAGGCGGCCCCCUGGACAAAGACUGACGCUCAGGUGCGAAAGCGUGGGGAGCAAACAGGAUUAGAUACCCUGGUAGUCCACGCUGUAAACGAUGUCGAUUUGGAGGUUGUGCCCUUGAGGCGUGGCUUCCGGAGCUAACGCGUUAAAUCGACCGCCUGGGGAGUACGGCCGCAAGGUUAAAACUCAAAUGAAUUGACGGGGGCCCGCACAAGCGGUGGAGCAUGUGGUUUAAUUCGAUGCAACGCGAAGAACCUUACCUACUCUUGACAUCCAGAGAACUUAGCAGAGAUGCUUUGGUGCCUUCGGGAACUCUGAGACAGGUGCUGCAUGGCUGUCGUCAGCUCGUGUUGUGAAAUGUUGGGUUAAGUCCCGCAACGAGCGCAACCCUUAUCCUUUGUUGCCAGCGGUUAGGCCGGGAACUCAAAGGAGACUGCCAGUGAUAAACUGGAGGAAGGUGGGGAUGACGUCAAGUCAUCAUGGCCCUUACGAGUAGGGCUACACACGUGCUACAAUGGCGUAUACAAAGAGAAGCGACCUCGCGAGAGCAAGCGGACCUCAUAAAGUACGUCGUAGUCCGGAUUGGAGUCUGCAACUCGACUCCAUGAAGUCGGAAUCGCUAGUAAUCGUAGAUCAGAAUGCUACGGUGAAUACGUUCCCGGGCCUUGUACACACCGCCCGUCACACCAUGGGAGUGGGUUGCAAAAGAAGUAGGUAGCUUAACCUUCGGGAGGGCGCUUACCACUUUGUGAUUCAUGACUGGGGUGAAGUCGUAACAAGGUAACCGUAGGGGAACCUGCGGUUGGAUCACCUCCUUACCAAG
rnacentral:rRNA from 1 species